rnacentral:rRNA from 1 species
UAGUAACGGCGAGUGAACCGGGAAGAGCUCAAAUUUGAAAUCUGGCGUGCUCAGUGCGUCCGAGUUGUAAUCUAUAGAGUCGUUUUCCGUGCCGGACUGUGUCCAAGUCCCUUGGAACAGGGUAUCAAAGAGGGUGAUAAUCCCGUACUUGACACAAUGACCGGUGCUCUGUGAUACGUCUUCUACGAGUCGAGUUGUUUGGGAAUGCAGCUCAAAAUGGGUGGUGAGUUCCAUCUAAAGCUAAAUAUUGGCGAGAGACCGAUAGCGAACAAGUACCGUGAGGGAAAGAUGAAAAGCACUUUGGAAAGAGAGUUAAACAGUACGUGAAAUUGUUAAAAGGGAAACGAUUGAAGUCAGUCGUGACUGAGAGGCUCAGCCGGUUCUGCCGGUGUAUUCCCCUCAGUCGGGUCAACAUCAGUUUUGUUCGGUGGAUAAGGGCAGUUGGAAGGUGGCACCCUCGGGUGUGUUAUAGCCAACUGUCGCAUACAUCGGAUGAGACUGAGGAAUGCAGCUC